GGGUGCGAUCAUACCAGGAAUAAUGCACCGGA
rnacentral:rRNA from 1 species